rnacentral:rRNA from 1 species
GUGAAGAGGGAAAAGCCCAGCACCGAAGCCUGCGGCAGUUUUGCUGUUAGGCAAUGUGGUGUUUGGGUCGGCUCGUGGGAUUGCCACUCCACUCGAAGUCCAGCAUUGAGUAUGGUCACUGGAUUUGGCCCAGAGAGGGUGAAAGGCCCGUACGGGUGGAGGUUCAGAAAUGAAAGGCAGUUCACCAGGCCGGCCUUAGAGUCGGGUUGUUUGAGAAUGCAGCCCAAAGUGGGUGGUAAACUCCAUCCAAGGCUAAAUACAAGCACGAGUCCGAUAGCGAACAAGUACCGUGAGGGAAAGUUGAAAAGUACUCUGAAGAGAGAGUAAACAGUACGUGAAACCGCAUGCAGGUAAACGGGUGGCGUCAAGCUGCAAGCUCAGGGGAUUCAGCCGGCUAGGUUGUUGUGUAUGCGCCUGGCGCAUCCAUCAGUCAGAGUAUGAUUGGAUAGUCCACUGGUAAACGGUGGGCCCGGCCGCAAGGCUGGGAUGUGUGUACCGGGUGUGUGCCGGAGCAUGCUAUCCGUCUAUGGACUGUCUAGCCGGUGCACUUUCUCUGUGCUGACACCACGACCGGUGGUAUUGCCAGUCUGCUGUGUCCAAGUCGUGUUCGGUCGGUCCUUGUGGCCAACUGGAUGCGAUCACAGGCAAACUCAGUAUACGGCGUAGGGGGGCUUCGGCUCUUCUGCGUGUUAUCGGCUACUGGUUGUCAACGGGCUGCCUAGUGUUUGUUGUACCGGCACUUGGGUAGUCUGGUGGGGCAUGGUGGUAAGAAUAACUGUGCAAGGCACCGGGUUUAACGGCCUCAAAUGCACUCUGCGCCCGCGUACAAGCGGUUUAUGGCGGUGCUGUUGCUGCCUGCUCGUGGUUGGGUCUGACWGUCGUGUCGCCUGCGAAAAGUGGGCCCGGCAGUGGCUCGACCCGAGGUGGGUAGUGGAUGGUGCUGUCUGUGUGGAGUGUGGUGGGCCUAAUAGUCUGUGGUGUAGUGGUAGACGAGCUACCCGACCCGUCUUGAAACACGGACCAAGGAGUUCAACAUGUAUGCGAGUCAAUGGGCGUUACGAAACCCAAAGGCGCAGUGAAAGUGAAGCUCCGACUUGUCUCGGGGUGAGGUGAGAUCCUGCUGUUACUCGCAUCAGCCUAAUGCCAGCAUCAGGCUAAGAGCAGUGGGCGCAUCACCGGCCCGUCCCAUGAUGUGGUCAUUGGAUGUCUGCGGUUGUUGCUUCGGCGGCGGCCGUGGUGCCAGUGCGUCAUCGGGGCGGAGCAU